UGUCGUCAGCUCGUGUUGUGAAAUGUUGGGUUAAGUCCCGCAACGAGCGCAACCCUUAUCCUUUGUUGCCAGCGGUCCGGCCGGGAACUCAAAGGAGACUGCCAGUGAUAAACUGGAGGAAGGUGGGGAUGACGUCAAGUCAUCAUGGCCCUUACGACCAGGGCUACACACGUGCUACAAUGGCGCAUACAAAGAGAAGCGACCUCGCGAGAGCAAGCGGACCUCAUAAAGUGCGUCGUAGUCCGGAUUGGAGUCUGCAACUCGACUCCAUGAAGUCGGAAUCGCUAGUAA
rnacentral:rRNA from 1 species